UAAGGGGGAAAGACCUUACAUACACUUGACAUCCCUUGCAUUACUGUUAAUCGAGGAAAUCCUUUGGGGGACAAGGUGACAGGUGGUGCAUGGUGGUCGUCAGCUCGUGUCGUGAGAUGUUGGGUUAAGUCCCGCAACGAGCGCAACCCUUGUCGUUAGUUACUACCAUUAAGUUGAGGAUUUUAGCGAGACUGCCUGGGUUAACCAGGAGGAAGGUGGGGAUGACGUCAAAUCAUCAUGCCCCUUAUGUGUAGGGUUACACACGUGUUACAAUGGCUGGUACAGAGAGAGGCAAUACCGGGAGGUGGAGCCAAACCUUAAAACCAGUCUCAGUUCGGAUUGUAGGCUGAAACUCGCCUACAUGAAGCUGGAGUUACUAGUAAUCCGCGAAUU
rnacentral:rRNA from 1 species